CCUACGGGCGGCAGCAGUGGGGGAUAUUGCACAAUGGGCGCAAGCCUGAUGCAGCGACGCCGCGUGGAGGAAGAAGGUUUUCGGAUUGUAAACUCCUGUCUUCAGGGACGAUAAUGACGGUACCUGAGGAGGAAGCCACGGCUAACUACGUGCCAGCAGCCGCGGUAAUACGUAGGUGGCAAGCGUUGUCCGGAAUUACUGGGUGUAAAGGGAGCGUAGGCGGGACAGCAAGUCCAGUGUGAAAUCUAUCGGCUCAACCGAUAGCUGCGCUGGAAACUGUGGUUCUUGAGUGAAGUAGAGGCAGGCGGAAUUCCUAGUGUAGCGGUGAAAUGCGUAGAUAUUAGGAGGAACACCAGUGGCGAAGGCGGCCUGCUGGACUUUUACUGACGCUGAGGCUCGAAAGUGUGGGUAGCAAACAGGAUUAGAUACCCCAGUAG
rnacentral:rRNA from 1 species